AAUUCCCUAGCUCGUAGGACAGCAGAUUAAGUCCCUGAGCCGAUAAACUUUAUCUAGGGGUGUAGUUUGCUUACUAUUGCGCAAGCUUGGCAUGUACCGAGAAGCCUACGGUGAGCUGUUACACUCCGCCUUGAACCUUAGGGUUCAAGGGCUGACAUCAGCAUCCGCGAAGCCGGGGAAGUC
rfam:Pseudoalteromonas phenolica strain KCTC 12086 chromosome I, complete sequence.